rnacentral:rRNA from 1 species
UGGGGAAUAUUGCACAAUGGAGGGAACUCUGAUGCAGCGACGCCGCGUGAGUGAUGAAGGAAUUCGUUUCGUAAAACUCUGUUCUAUGGGAAGAAAAGGACUGUACCAUAGGAGAAAGCUCCGGCUAAAUACGUGCCAGCAGCCGCGGUAAUACGUAUGGAGCGAGCGUUGUCCGGAAUUAUUGGGCGUAAAGGGUGCGCAGGCGGCUUUACAAGUUGGAUGUGAAAUAUUGUGGCUCAACCACAAACGUGCAUCCAAAACUGCAAAGCUUGAGGUAAGGAGAGGUAAGUGGAAUUCCUGGUGUAGCGGUGGAAUGCGUAGAUAUCAGGAGGAAUACCGGUGGCGAAGGCGACUUACUGGACAUAAACUGACGCUCAGGCACGAAAGCGUGGGGAGCAAACAGG